ensembl:lncRNA
GGAGGAUCGCUCUACUCACUGGGACGAGAAACAGACGUGCCCUCCACUCGGUCCAGGGGGGGGGAAUGUAAACAGCAGUAUUUUACAAGAUCGUGGUUUUCUCAAGACGUCCACGCAAUGAAGUCAAACACGUUGGUAAUAAUUCCAACAUCAAAUAUGGGGUAGAGACAUGUAUAAUAAGUUCUAAGGAUGAGGACUGUAGUCGCCAGAAUCACCUGGAUUCAAAUCCAGGUCACGGCCCUGCAGACGCUCUGCAACGCACGUUGUGAAGCAGCGGUCGGAGUGAGCAGAUGUGGUCGGAGUGCUGCCUUCUGAUCGGCAAAGCACAAAUGCCUCUUUACGGGAUUCGACCGUCAGAUGGAGCCAGAAAGGAAUUCACGAGGGAGGAGCUGGGCUCGGACGUGCAGCCAAUCACAUACGACUGCAGCACAAGCGACACGCCCCCAAAUAUUAUGUAUUAUAUGACCAAUAUUGAUGGUCAUAUCAGACUGGACGAGGGGACUUCUCUAUUUUGCAAAAUAAUAUACAAUUCAUUCUUUACUUCACCUGCACCUUGUGUAUUGCUUACUACUUCUGUUAGUUAUUAAAUUCUUUAUCAUUUUUAAACUCGAGCCAGUUGACUUUUUAUGAUUCUCGUCUCAGAAGCGCCGAGGGGAACAGUAGUGAUCCUCCUUUAAAGUGUCAAAGCUAAGAAAAGCUGCAUACUGGAUACGUAAAGAAAUGCA